GACAUUCCUGCAGCCUGAGCUGGGCCAGCUGCUGUUCCACGGGACAGGCAGUCUAAUCAGACAGCCCUACCUACUACUCCACUACACCACUACAGUCCAGUCCCCUGCGGGAGAGAGGCAGUGGGGCCCAGGGAUCUUUCAGCAUUUGCUAUGUGGCAGCUGUUACUUUGUUUUCUUCUCUUGGCUUGAAAGGCUGGGAACUCAGAGCCAACGGAACAGCAACAACAACAAUACCGAGUUUCCACAGAGUCCCUGUGGACCCAGCACCUGGCCAGUGCUCAAGAGCGCCCUAGCACCAAUGGUUUCAUCACCCUUUAAAAGAAGUUCUGGACGGGUAAGGCAGUCACUCCCAAGUCACUCCCUGACAACCACUAAUCUGCUCUGUCUCUACGGAUUUGCCUAGUCUGAAUAUUUCAUAUCAAUAGGCAUAGCCUGGGCCCUUCUGUGUCUUGUUUCUUUCUCUUGGUCCACCACUGUUUCUGAGGGUCGCCACAUCACCAAGGGUUCACACUUGACACCUCUUGAUGGCUGGGUAGGAUUCUCUUGUGUGCCCUGCCCCCACAUUUUAGCCGAUCUUUAGCUGACAUAUACCCAGGUUGUCUUCACUUUGGGAGAGGUUGUGCGGUUGUAAAUCAUGCUGUAAUGAAUAUUUAUAAGCAAUUUUUUUCUCUCCUUAAACUGUUUUCAAUUUUUUUUUUGAUGUAACCCUAAGAGUGAAGUUGCUAGGUCAGAGGGUAAUAUUAUGUUUGACUUAAAGUGAAGUCUGGGUACAUUUUUAAACAAUGUCAGAGCAGAGGAAUUUUUUUUGGGGGGGAGGGGGUUUAGGAUAUGUGUGUAUUCUUUUAUAAUGUAGAGGUGGGGGGGGGCAGAGGUCAGCAGGGAGAUGAGUCCCACAAGUCCUCUCCCUACUUGAUUCUUCUGGAUGGUGGUGGUGGUGGUGCCCACAUGCGUGGCAGUGCAAGGGUACCCCUGGAGGCCAGCAGAGGCAUUUGUGAGCUGCUGCAUAUGGGUCUUGGGAUCUGAACUCUGGUGCUCAUGAUAGAGCGGCAAGUGCCCUUAAAUGGCAAGCCAUCCUUCCUCUCUCUCAAGUGGAACAGCUGCCUAGCACGGGCUGCCACAGUUAGGGAGGAUCAGACUCCAGAGCAGCUUCUGGUAAGGCAAGAAAGUUGCCCCGGUUAUCGUGGGCAGGUGGGCUUCAGAAAGAUGGAUUUCAGGGAUGGGGAACAUGACACGGGGAACACGACACCCUCUUGCUGGCGACAGGGAUGCUUUUGCACGUUGUUCUGGUGACCUCAGAAAUGACCAUAAAAGGUGAAGUUCUUGGUGCUUUGAUUAUUUAGGGGAUUUCUAGCAACCAAAUAAAAACAAGAGUGCCAAAAAUGAAAUGCAGAAGUUCUACCAGGCCUGUGACACCAGAUGGUUUGAAAUAAAACACGCACAUGCUGAGUUAUCUUCUUCCAGGUCCGGGGUUGUGAAGACCUCUUCUGCGUCUCAGAUUUGCCUGUGCGUGAGACCGUCUGGGAGUCCUUGGCGCUUUCCUUGGCGUGUUCAGAGUAUAAACUGGAUUAGGUCUCAGCACAGACAGAUCACCAUCGUAGCAGAGCCCACAUGAUCGAAUUCUAACUGGUCACAGUCCUUUCAUUUGCAGAUACCAUCUAAAACUGUGGAUUUCUCAUGGAAAGUCUCAGCGAUGACUUUCGUCCCUUGAUCCACUUGAAGUCCUGUCUCUGAGGGGCACAGAAGCCAACCAGUGACGGCAGAGAGGAGUGGCAGGAACCAGGAGGUUGACUGGGGAAGGGGUGCUGAGGAGGAUGGGGGUGGGGGUGGGGCAGGGAGAUAGGAAUGUUCUGUGUUGUGAGAGAGGUAUGGGUUACAGAGGCAAAAACAGUGGCCAAGAUAUGUGUCAAUCAUAACUCAGUCCCAGUUAAACACCCAGUUUAAAGAGCUGCUCGAUGCUUCCGUUUGCCUACCUGUAAGGUGGAAACGGCAGCACCAUACUCUCUAAGGCAGUGCUGGGCGAUUGAACGAUGAGGCCGUGCAUGCUCCCUGAGGCUGUGCUAUGCAGCUAACCGUUGUGGGUGGUGGCUGUUAUCCUUACAAUUUCUAUGCAAAAGGCAGUCUUCACUGUCUAAGCCCUUGUUCCUCCCGCCUUGAUUUUUCGGGGUAUCUCCUCCCUGCCAUAGUGUAAUUCCACCUGCCUCCAAAUCUGUAUCUCUUCUUCCAUUGCAAAGUAGCAUGACCCAGCCUCAAGUCUGUCUCUCUCUGUAAUGGCUUUGACCCCAACUACCCAAAUUCCCCAAAUACUCUUCUAAGAGGGACCACAGUCUUCGCUGAGCUGGCCCUAAGACUUCCUUCCACUCAGUCUCACUGAUGUUAAUAUGGCUAUUAUUAUUAUUAUUAUCAUCAUUAUCACCAUCUAAAAAUAAAUCCUGUACUUGUUGCCACACUUGA
rnacentral:lncRNA from 1 species